rnacentral:pre_miRNA from 1 species
GUGUGAUUUGUAGCAAAGUGAUUUGCAUUUGAAAUCCCCUUGUUGCAAACCUCACGC